ensembl:snoRNA SNORA70 Small nucleolar RNA SNORA70
CUUCAGGUCUAGAUUAGAAAAUUAAAUGGAUCCUUAUGGAGGCCUGGUGUGCAAUGGCUGCAAACAUCAGCCUCAUGGGUAGUGUAUGGAGCCUGUUGUUUGUAUGGAUUGCUCUAAGGGACCUUGCAGACAGUC